CUGCUGAUUGAUAGCUGAAUGACAAGCUGCAAUGUCACUUUCUUACAGGAAUAACUAUCCUGAAUUACAAGGAUAGUGAAUUGGAACACAUCCUUUAGAAAGAUGCCUAAUCCCAUUUUUAAAGCUCUGAGUGAUGGCUUCAGCUGCCAUGCAGCCUCCGAGUCCUGGUGCUGUUUCCUGUGAUAGACGCCCAGUGCAUGCACCAGUGAGUCCUGCUGAGGGCUGGGCUGCUGUGUGAGGCUCCUCUGGGGGCUGAUGCUCAGAGCUUUUAUCACCUGGCCUUGUCUGCAAGGAAAGUGAUCAUUCCUCUAAUCUCGGGAGCUGGGGAUGAUCCUUCACCAGUCUGAGCUCUGCUGAAGUUGUUGGGGUGACAGCUAUUAUCUCUGCUGGAUUCCAGGCCAGCUCACCUUCUCUGGUACUCCUGGCUCCUGACGGCCAGAGCUGACACCUGAGCCUGCUCUGUAGCUGAUCCUUGUUUCCUUCACCAUUUGCCUUUUAAAGUUUGCCCGCGCUCCUGUUAAGCUCUCAGACACAUCUUCAUCUAAUGAAAAUAAGUGACAGGUACACUCAGGUGUCAGGUGUAAAAUACAGAGGUUGGGUGAAUUUCUCAGGGAAAAUGCCAAAAACUCUUUGAAAUUAAUUCUGUACUGCAGGGACAGCCUGACACCUACCUAAACCCCAGAAAGGUGCAUUUUGGAGACACUACUAAUCCUAAACUUGUUUCCUAGUCCGCACAGGUUUGUAGACAACUUUUGCCAAGUGGUAUGAUGGUAAAUUGAGAAACCUUCAGAUUUUGCUGCAGUAUUUCACCAACUCUAUUGACUUGUUCCAUUAAAAGAAAAAGAAAUAAUUAAAGCUGCUAAGUUCCUAAAAUGGAAAGUGCAUCUUUCUUGGCAUUGUAAAGCAGCAAGAUGAAGGCUUGCUCUGCCUGUACAUAGCUGUAAUUUAUGUUUAUGCUCUCAUAAGGGGUCUGCAUGUGCCUAAGUCACAUUAACAUUAAUAGGAGCUGAAUGCAAGCAGGGAGGUUUAGCUAGAAUAUUGGGAAACAUU
rnacentral:lncRNA from 1 species